rnacentral:sRNA from 1 species
GAGAUGUUCGGUCGGGGAGGCCCUGAGCAGAGGAACCCGGGUGGAGAGGGCGGGGCCUGAGGAGGGCGGAGAGCUGGGGCGGGUCUCAGCUGCUCCAAGCUUUUCUGCCAUUUGAAGCUUCUUCUGGGAGCCAGCUGUGACCAGAGGAAUAGCUCCAGCCAUCCGGUUAAAAGUUUAACAACCGGAACAGCUCCAGUCUGCAGCUCCCAGCGUGAUCGACGCAGAAGACAGGUGAUUUCUGCAUUUCUGACUGAGGUACCUGAUUCAUCUCACUGGGACUGGUUUGACAGUGGGUGCAGCCCACAGAGGGGGAGCUGAAGCAGGGCAGGGUGUCACCUCACCCUGGAAGUGCAAGGGGUCAGGGGAUUUCCCUUUCCUAGCCAAGGGAAGCCGUGACAGACUACCUGGAAAAAUGGGACACUCCUGCCCAAAUACUGCACUUUUCCCAAGAUCUUAGCCACCGGCAGACAAGGAGAUUCUCUCCCGUGCCUGGCUCGGCGGGUUCCACACCCACGGAGCCUUGCUCACUGCUAGUGCAGCAGUCUGAGAUCGAACUGCGAGGCGGCAGCCUGGCUGGGGGAGGGGCGUCCGCUGUUGCUGAGGCUUGAGUAGGUAAACAAACCAGCUGGGAAGUUCGAACUGGGCAGAGCCCACUGCAGCUCAGUAAGGCCUACUGCCUCUAGACUCCAUCUCUGUGGCCAGGGCAUAGCUGAACAAAAGGCAGCAGACAACUUUUGCAGACUUAAAGGUCCCUGUCUGACAGCUCUGAAGAGAGCAUUGGUUCUCUCAGCAUGGUGUUUGAGCUCUGAGAACGGACAGACUGCCUCCUCAAGUGGGUCCCUGACCCCCAUGUAGCCUAACUAGGAGAUACCUCCCAGGAGGGGCCGACAGACACCUCAUAUAGGCACCUGCCUCUCUGGGACGAAGCUUCCAGAGGAAGGAUCAGGAAGUAGUAUUUGCUGUUCUGCAAUAUUUGCUGUUCUGCAGCCUCUGCUGGUGAUACCCACGAAAACAGGGUCUGGGGUGGACCUCCAGCAAACUCCAACCGACCUGCAGCUGAGGUACCUGACAGUUAGAAGGAAAACUGAAAAACAGAAAGGAAUAGCAUCAACAUCACCAAAAAGGUCAUCUACACCAAAACCCCAUCUGUAGGUCACCAACAUCAAAGACCAAAGGUAGAUAAAACCACAAAGAUGGGGAGAAACCAGAGCAGAAAAGCUGAAAAUUCUAAAAAUCAGAGUGCCUCUUCUCCUCCAAAGGAUCAAACUCCUCGCCAGCAAAGAAACAAGGCUGGAUGGAGAAUGACUUUGACGAGUUGACAGAAGUAGGCUUCAGAAGGUUGGUAAAAACAAACUUCUCCAAGCUAAAGGAGGAUGUUUGAACCCAUCGCAAGGAAGUAAAACCCUUGAAAAAAGAUUAGACGAAUGGCUAACUGGAAUAAACAGUGUAGAGAAUGCCUUAAAUGACCUGAUGGAGCUGAAAACCAUGGCACAAGAACUUCGUGACGCAUGCACAACCUUCAAUAGCCGAUUCGAUCAAGUGGAAGAAAGGGUAUCAGUGAUUGAAGAUCAAAUUAAUGAAAUAAAGCAAUAAGACAAGGUUACAGAAAAAAGAGUAAAAAGACAUGAACAAAGCCUCCAAGACAAAUGGGACUAUGUGAAAAGACCAAAUCUAUGUUUGAUUGGUGUACCUGAAAGUGAUGGGGAGAAUGGAACCAACUUGGAAAACACUCUUCAGGAUAUUAUCCAGGAGAACUUCCCCAACCUAGCAAGGCAGGCCAACAUUCAAAUUCAGAAAAUACAGAGAACACCACAAAGAUACUCCUUGAGAAGAGCAACCCCAAGACACAUAAUUGUCAGAUUCACCAAGGUUGAAAUGAAGGAAAAAGUGUUAAGGGCAGCCAAAGAGAAAGGUUGAGUUACCCACAAAGGGACGCCCAUCAGACUAACAGCGGAUCUCUCUGCAGAAACCCUACAAGAAGAGAGUGGGGGCCAAUAUUCAACAUUCUUAAAGAAUUUUCAACCCAGAAUUUCAUAUCUAGCCAAACUAAGCUUCAUAAGUAAAGGAAAAAUAAAAUCCUUUACAGACAAGCAAAUGCUGAGAGAUUUUGUCACCACCAGGCCUGCCUUACGAGAGCUCCUAAAGGAAGCACUAAACAUGGAAAGGAACAACUGGUACCAGCCACUGCAAAAACAUGCCAAAUUGUAAAGACCAUCGAUGCUAUGAAGAAACUGCAUGAAUUAAUGGGCAAAAUAACCAGUGAACAUCAUAAUGACAGGAUCAAAUUCACACAUAACGAUAUUAACCUUAAAUGUAAAUGGGCUAAAUGCCCCAAUUAAAAGACACAGACUGGCAAAUUGGAUAAAGAGUCAAGACCCAUCAAUGUGCUGUAUUCAGGAGACCCAGCUCAUGUGCAAAGACACACAUAGACUAAAAUAAAGGGAUGGAGGAAGAUAUACCAAGCAAAUGGAAAGCAAAAAAAAAAAAAAAAAAA